rnacentral:tRNA from 1 species
CACGGUGGUCUAGCGGUUAGAACGCUGGGCUUGUAAUCCUGGGGUCUCGGGUUCGAUUCCCGGCGGUG